CCGCUUAUUCUUUUUCUUAGCCUUUUAUCAUUACUUAGAAUAAUUUGGACUUCUCAUUUUAAUAUAUUCUUUCCUUCAUUUCUUAAUAUACAAUUUUAAAAUUUUUUACAUUUUGCAAAAAUUUUUUUUUUUUAAUUUAAAAGUAAUAAUUGCACAUAGUGCAUGAAUUACCAUCUGCAGUCUUCCCAAGUUUGCGUUCUUAUUUUAAACUUUACAAAUAUCUGCCUUUUCUAAAUAAUUCUCGAACUAAUUUUUUAGUCGAAAUCGUUAUUUAUUUACAAUAAACCUCUACACUUUAAUUUUGUGAGUUUUACAAAUUUCUUCCUUUCCUCUGUGGCUUGUUUUUCAAGUCACCCUCUAAUAUACAUAUAAAUAAAAAAUGUAAUUUUUUUAAUAUAAAAACUGAACAGCAAAGUUAUAUUUUCCGCUGUUCGCGGCAAUAUUUGAUUUUUUUAUACACAUUAGUUUGUAGUUAAAAAAUUUUAAUAUUAAAAAAAAAACAAAAAACAAAAAAACACUUUUAAAUUAGUUUUGUAAUCAGUAAUCUUAAGGCGCUAACCAGACUAUGCGAAUUCUACAAAUACAACAAAGAAAAUAAAUAGGUUAAAAUUACUAAAACAAAAUACCGUUACAUAUAAUAAAUUCAAUAAACAUAAACUCAAAUAGCAAUAAUAUAAUUAACAAGAAAAAAUUAAUAAAAAUUUAAACAAAAAAUCGCAGUUUGCAUGGUUUAUAUAAGCUCUUGUGAAAUAAGUGUUUUUAAAUUUUAAAAUAAAUAUUUGUGAUUAUGCGUAAUUCAAUUUAGCGAUUUAAAAGCUACGCAACAGACUUUGGCUUAACCACGGAAGUGAUUUGAGGGCGAAACAAAACGAGAAAUUGAAAGAAAGCUUGUAAAACACCGUUAUUUCGAUGAAAAAUAAUAAAAGCGGUUCAAGAACUUGAAUUACAACAAUCAAUUUCUGUAACAAAAUAUACCACCAUACGCAAAAACACAACGGAGAGAAAGAGGCUCUAUCAAAGCUAUGCAAGACACUUCAAUGUAGACACGAUCAAUAUUUUCGAUCCACAAUCAAUAUUCUCGAUCCACAAUCAAUAUCGUUUUGAAGCCCAAAGGUUAUGCGAAGCCCAAUAGAAAAUAAUUACAAAAAGCCAUGGCAUAAAUUUUCUAUGAAGAGAGAUCGUGAAGCUGUUCAAAUUACAACUAACUCACUGAGCGAUUCACAAGUAACUCUUAAAUGCGUGUUGUUCGUAGUCGUAUCUCAUUAGAGUCAUUUAGCCGAACUGACUAGUAGAUCGAGGCUACUUCAAGAAGGUCGUAAAAUAAGUUGAAAUUGGUCAGCAGCUAGAUACAUGAGAGAAUUCUGCGACCUUGACGUCCGAGUCACGACAUACCGUUCCAUGUUACCGGAAUUGACCCAGAUUUUAUCCCGCCAAGGCCUGUUAUUUGGGGUUGGAUCGUUGUGCAGUUAUCUUAUCUGAUCAAAAACUUGUUGAGAAUUGUUGUCCUCCAAUGAAGUUUUCGCAUAAGCGAUAGUUAAUGCUGCAUAUUGUAAAUACAGCUUAAAUAAACGAAACCGUCUGGUAACCGCCUAAGCUAGCCUUCAUCAACUUCACCACUUGGCAGCACUGCACUUUGACAAGUCAAUAAAAGUGUAACUGUUGAAUGCCGUUAAGUGAAAAAUUGAACCGCAAUUUUAAAAAAAUCUGCGAUUUCAGCACAGCGCAGCUAAUUUUCAAUCAAAUCAAUUCUCGAAACCAAAAAGUGUUUCCAACGUUUCAAUCAAACUGCCAUAUUCAGCACAUUUUGGCCUCAGCAGACUUCCUGUCCCCAGUGCCACUCGAGCACAUACACACACAGAAACACAACGCGGCAAGCGCAUAAACCGCCGCACAAUGCGAAAUGGAUCGAGUAUGGGCAAUAAAAUGUCAACUGGCAUUUAAAAGAGACUUAACUAUUUAAAUAAUCAAAUGGCCACGCAACGGAAUGGUUUGAUCCAACGAUGUGCCCCUUUGCAUUUUGCCGAAUUCAAAGCGCCCUGACGACACCAGCCGCCAAUUUUCUGAUAAUGCGAAGAUUCAACAAUAUUAGUGAUAUCACGAUUCGGAUAAGCCUGUAAGAAAAUGAAUAGAGGAAUUCGGUUGGAAGCGCACAUCUGCGCCCUGCACACCCACACACUCGCAAACAAGGAUGAAGGGCGGGCUGCGCCAAGGAAUGGAAUCGAGUUGCCAGCGGCGGCGCACACGAACACCACGUGCUGCUACAACAACAAGACAGCAAGCAAUAACAAAACAGGAGUGUUUACCAGUUCGUUAUUACAACAAAGAAGAGGUGCCUGGGGCCGUGAAGGACGUUGGGUGGCUUUAAAGCGUUCAGCGGAGGCGCCGCUUGUCUUCAAUUUCGAAAUUCGAAAAUUUACUUUCUUUUUAUUUUUUUGGUCUCAGGCGUUGCAGAAAAACAUCUGUUUACUCCUUCACCGCCACAAGCAGAAUCGAUUGGAAAUUUGCUUCUACUCCAAAAGUAGACCAGCUAUGCAUGUGUUGUUGUUGUGUUGGUGUAAGUCCUCCUGGGGGGCUCCCGCUCUGCCUGCCCGGAUCUGUUGACAGUUUUACGACACCUUUUUCGGCACACCGGAAGUGCCAAGCAAGCGACUUCCUGCUUCCGCCAUUCUCGCUUAACUGCUCAUUGCGCUUUUCUACGUCGCCCACUCGCUCGCUGUGGCUUUGGUUGUUGUUGUUGUUUUUAUUUAAUUUAUAUAUUUUUCAGGUGACGCCGAAUUUGGGUCACUCGCUCGCCUUUGACGACUGCUCGGUAAAAAGGGACCGUGGCUGCGUGUCUCAGCGGCAGCGGCGACGCAAUUAUUUCCGCUGUUUUGCUGCGGAGCCUCACUUAACCUUUUUAUGAACACUAUUUGGCUAAAUGCGAAAUCAAUUAUGAAAGCGAAAGUAAUUGACGGAGAAAUCGACGAAGCUUACAACAACAACGCCCAGCAAUCAUUUAUAAUUUAACAUCGAACAAUAUUAAUGCAUAUUAGCUAGAACCUUCACAUAUAUUUUACAAAAUUUCAUUCGAACCAACGAAAAUGAACAAUUUUUGAGCUCAAACUGAAAAGAAACCUAUUUUAUUUAAGAAAAAUUGCAAAUCCACUUCAAACAAUGUUUAGUCCAUAAGACCAUUCAAGUAAAACACAUAAAUAUUAAACACGAUGAUUGUG